rnacentral:misc_RNA from 1 species
UGGCCUUGCCAAGUCUGCAAAUGAGGUGAUGCUGGUGAUUGAAGCAUACAAGGCACUUCGUGACAGAGCACCUUACCCUCCAAAUCAUGUUGUUGGUCACCUUGAAGGCAGUUUCGCUUUCAUUGUUUUUGACAAGUCUACUUCCACCUUGUUUGUGGCUACCGAUCAAGUUGGUAAGGUACCCCUCUACUGGGGAAUCACUGCUGAUGGGUAUGUGGCCUUUGCCAAUGAUGCU